rnacentral:lncRNA from 1 species
UCUUAACCAUUUUUUUCUAAAACUUCAUAUAUAUUUACAUACUGAUCAUUCUUAUGAAACAUAGAUUUACCUUGAUGCUCUCUGAUUAUACCGGGAAUAAUUAAUGUGCUUACCUAAAACAGAAAGAAACAAUAUACACUGUUAGUUCCAAAAUAAUAAUUGUCUGAUGCUUGCAGUACACAAAAUAAGACAUAGCAAAUAAAUAAUCACAACUUAUUCCAAUCUCUAUUUUUCUUUACAUCCUAGAGAUCUUUAUGGCUGUGACAAAAUCAAACGGUAUAAGUGUUUCCAAAACUUCAUAGGAAAAGGGCUUUCACAGAUGACUUGGCAGUGAGUCCGUUUCUACUGAUUUGAAGAAAUCUAUUUUUGUCAUUUAUUUUAUGUCAUCAGCAUAUAAGGUAUCAAAAUUCUAAAAAAUCAGCAAAAGCCUUGUGGAAUUAUAUUAUUUCCCCAAAGAUCUUAGAAAUAUCUUCACCAUUGAUGUAUUGUUCAUGGUUCUACUACAGUAGCAAUCAUCCUAUCCACAUUUACCGGCCUGGAAAAUUCUACAAUUCAGAUAUCUUUAAAUUCAGUAAUAAUGAAAGUGAAAGUGUGAAACUGUAUCAGUUUUAGUAAUUAUGAAAGUGUGAAACUGACAGUCAACUCUAUUGUGUCAAACUCUUUGCAACCCCAUCAACUGUAGCCCACCAGUCUCCUCUGUCCAUGAGAUUCUCUAGGCAAGAAUGCAGAAGUGGAAAUAACUAUAUAACAUGUUAUAAUUAUACCACAUCUAUGAAUUACAUAUUGCACGCCAUGUACAUUAUACACGUUUAUGUGUAUGAAAUAAAAAAAGAAAUGGCCGUGAACUUUCUUUGGAUUCUUUCUUUUUUGUAUUCAUUCCGUUUUGUGUGCCAUGAGAUCAGAAAUCCUAUGUAUUUUUUUGACUCUAACAUCCAGCGGUGUAAAUAUGUAGUGGAAACUCAACACAUGUUCUUUUCAGAUGGAUAA